UUCGGUCUGCACAUGCACUCACUUACGACCUUGUUUUCCUGGAUACUGCAAGGGAGAUAACACCUGCCAGUGUUUGAAUAAUUUCUCCCCACAAAACUCAAAAGGGAUAGGAAACUGCCUUAACUUUCCCAGCAGUCCCGAAUACUACUAUCCAGCAAUCGAACAGAGUACAAUAAAAUUUGGUUUUAACAGUCAGACGGAGAACAUGCUAAUAUUCAACAAGACGGUUGAUUUAGCCAUAAACAAAGGGAAUACGGAGGUUUUCUGGACUAAUCGAAGAGACUUUAACACAAUAAACUUCACCUUUCAGUCGAUUUUAGGGUCCGCUUCUUUGAAUCUAUCUGCAAGGCCUCAUUAUGUAAUUAAACAUGAAUUCGGAAUAGUAGAAGCAGACAUUUAUGUUGUACAGAAGAAGAUAAAUGGUCGAGUAAAUUACAGUACCACUUUGCCUUGUGAUGGAGUUAGCAGAGACAAUCCUAGACAUGACAUUCUUGUUGAGUGCAAAUAGAGUAUCGCUUCAUUUGAUUUAAGC